GAUGAUCUCCAGCUUGCUGGGGGGAUUAGUGGCGAACGGGUGAGUAACACGUGAGUAACCUGCCCUUAACUCUGGGAUAAGCCUGGGAAACUGGGUCUAAUACCGGAUAUGACUCCUCAUCGCAUGGUGGGGGGUGGAAAGCUUUUUGUGGUUUUGGAUGGACUCGCGGCCUAUCAGCUUGUUGGUGAGGUAAUGGCUCACCAAGGCGACGACGGGUAGCCGGCCUGAGAGGGUGACCGGCCACACUGGGACUGAGACACGGCCCAGACUCCUACGGGAGGCAGCAGUGGGGAAUAUUGCACAAUGGGCGCAAGCCUGAUGCAGCGACGCCGCGUGAGGGAUGACGGCCUUCGGGUUGUAAACCUCUUUCAGUAGGGAAGAAGCGAAAGUGACGGUACCUGCAGAAGAAGCGCCGGCUAACUACGUGCCAGCAGCCGCGGUAAUACGUAGGGCGCAAGCGUUAUCCGGAAUUAUUGGGCGUAAAGAGCUCGUAGGCGGUUUGUCGCGUCUGCCGUGAAAGUCCGGGGCUCAACUCCGGAUCUGCGGUGGGUACGGGCAGACUAGAGUGAUGUAGGGGAGACUGGAAUUCCUGGUGUAGCGGUGAAAUGCGCAGAUAUCAGGAGGAACACCGAUGGCGAAGGCAGGUCUCUGGGCAUUAACUGACGCUGAGGAGCGAAAGCAUGGGGAGCGAACAGGAUUAGAUACCCUGGUAGUCCAUGCCG
rnacentral:rRNA from 1 species